ACGGUGGAUGCCCUGGCAGUCAGAGGCGAUGAAGGGCGUGCUAAUCUGCGAUAAGCGCCGGUAAGGUGAUAUGAACCGUUAUAACCGGCGAUACCCGAAUGGGGAAACCCAGUGUGAUUCGUCACACUAUCAUUAACUGAAUCCAUAGGUUAAUGAGGCGAACCGGGGGAACUGAAACAUCUAAGUACCCCGAGGAAAAGAAAUCAACCGAGAUUCCCCCAGUAGCGGCGAGCGAACGGGGAGGAGCCCAGAGCCUGAAUCAGCAUGUGUGUUAGUGGAAGCGUCUGGAAAGGCGCGCGAUACAGGGUGACAGCCCCGUACACAAAAGCGCAUGUGCUGUGAGCUCGAUGAGUAGGGCGGGACACGUGGUAUCCUGUCUGAAUAUGGGGGGACCAUCCUCCAAGGCUAAAUACUCCUGACUGACCGAUAGUGAACCAGUACCGUGAGGGAAAGGCGAAAAGAACCCCGGCGAGGGGAGUGAAAAAGAACCUGAAACCGUGUACGUACAAGCAGUGGGAGCACCCUUUGGGUGUGACUGCGUACCUUUUGUAUAAUGGGUCAGCGACUUAUAUUCUGUAGCAAGGUUAACCGAAUAGGGGAGCCGGAGGGAAACCGAGUCUUAAUUGGGCGUUAAGUUGCAGGGUAUAGACCCGAAACCCGGUGAUCUAGCCAUGGGCAGGUUGAAGGUUGGGUAACACUAACUGGAGGACCGAACCGACUAAUGUUGAAAAAUUAGCGGAUGACCUGUGGCUGGGGGUGAAAGGCCAAUCAAACCGGGAGAUAGCUGGUUCUCCCCGAAAGCUAUUUAGGUAGCGCCUCGUGAAUUCAUCUCCGGGGGUAGAGCACUGUUUCGGCUAGGGGGCCAUCCCGGCUUACCAACCCGAUGCAAACUGCGAAUACCGGAGAAUGUUAUCACGGGAGACACACGGCGGGUGCUAACGUCCGUCGUGAAGAGGGAAACAACCCAGACCGCCAGCUAAGGUCCCAAAGUCAUGGUUAAGUGGGAAACGAUGUGGGAAGGCCCAGACAGCCAGGAUGUUGGCUUAGAAGCAGCCAUCAUUUAAAGAAAGCGUAAUAGCUCACUGGUCGAGUCGGCCUGCGCGGAAGAUGUAACGGGGCUAAACCAUGCACCGAAGCUGCGGCAGCGACGCUUAUGCGUUGUUGGGUAGGGGAGCGUUCUGUAAGCCUGCGAAGGUGGCCUGUGAGGGUUGCUGGAGGUAUCAGAAGUGCGAAUGCUGACAUAAGUAACGAUAAAGCGGGUGAAAAGCCCGCUCGCCGGAAGACCAAGGGUUCCUGUCCAACGUUAAUCGGGGCAGGGUGAGUCGACCCCUAAGGCGAGGCCGAAAGGCGUAGUCGAUGGGAAACGGGUUAAUAUUCCCGUACUUGGUGUUACUGCGAAGGGGGGACGGAGAAGGCUAUGUUGGCCGGGCGACGGUUGUCCCGGUUUAAGCGUGUAGGUGUGUGUUCCAGGUAAAUCCGGUUCACUUUAACACUGAGGCGUGACGACGAGGCACUACGGUGCUGAAGCAACAAAUGCCCUGCUUCCAGGAAAAGCCUCUAAGCAUCAGGUAACAUCAAAUCGUACCCCAAACCGACACAGGUGGUCAGGUAGAGAAUACCAAGGCGCUUGAGAGAACUCGGGUGAAGGAACUAGGCAAAAUGGUGCCGUAACUUCGGGAGAAGGCACGCUGACACGUAGGUGAAGUGAUUUACUCAUGGAGCUGAAGUCAGUCGAAGAUACCAGCUGGCUGCAACUGUUUAUUAAAAACACAGCACUGUGCAAACACGAAAGUGGACGUAUACGGUGUGACGCCUGCCCGGUGCCGGAAGGUUAAUUGAUGGGGUCAGCGCAAGCGAAGCUCCUGAUCGAAGCCCCGGUAAACGGCGGCCGUAACUAUAACGGUCCUAAGGUAGCGAAAUUCCUUGUCGGGUAAGUUCCGACCUGCACGAAUGGCGUAAUGAUGGCCAGGCUGUCUCCACCCGAGACUCAGUGAAAUUGAACUCGCUGUGAAGAUGCAGUGUACCCGCGGCAAGACGGAAAGACCCCGUGAACCUUUACUAUAGCUUGACACUGAACAUUGAGCCUUGAUGUGUAGGAUAGGUGGGAGGCUUUGAAGUGUGGACGCCAGUCUGCAUGGAGCCGACCUUGAAAUACCACCCUUUAAUGUUUGAUGUUCUAACGUGGACCCGUUACCCGGGUUGCGGACAGUGUCUGGUGGGUAGUUUGACUGGGGCGGUCUCCUCCUAAAGAGUAACGGAGGAGCACGAAGGUUGGCUAAUCCUGGUCGGACAUCAGGAGGUUAGUGCAAUGGCAUAAGCCAGCUUGACUGCGAGCGUGACGGCGCGAGCAGGUGCGAAAGCAGGUCAUAGUGAUCCGGUGGUUCUGAAUGGAAGGGCCAUCGCUCAACGGAUAAAAGGUACUCCGGGGAUAACAGGCUGAUACCGCCCAAGAGUUCAUAUCGACGGCGGUGUUUGGCACCUCGAUGUCGGCUCAUCACAUCCUGGGGCUGAAGUAGGUCCCAAGGGUAUGGCUGUUCGCCAUUUAAAGUGGUACGCGAGCUGGGUUUAGAACGUCGUGAGACAGUUCGGUCCCUAUCUGCCGUGGGCGCUGGAGAACUGAGGGGGGCUGCUCCUAGUACGAGAGGACCGGAGUGGACGCAUCACUGGUGUUCGGGUUGUCAUGCCAAUGGCACUGCCCGGUAGCUAAAUGCGGAAGAGAUAAGUGCUGAAAGCAUCUAAGCACGAAACUUGCCCCGAG
rnacentral:rRNA from 1 species